rnacentral:snRNA from 1 species
AGCUGUGUGCAGUGGCAGUAUCGUAGCCAAUGAGGUUUAUCUGAGGCACGAUUAUUGCUAAUUGUUUCAUUAUCGUUGAGUGUAAAACAAAAAAUGUACAUCAUUAAAUCUGGAAAAUCUCUAACAUGG